CCACUUUAAUAAAACUAUUCAUUAAACAGGUGCAAUUCCCUUCUGGAAGAAUGCCCUGGUUUUGGUUGGAGUGGUUUACUCGGGGAGUUUUAGCUUAUGGUAAUCAGGAGCCAUUUUAAACUAAACCUUGCUUUGAACCUGGGUGUGCUAUUUCAGUUUAGUAGCAAUUUGAGUCAAAAUAGUGGAAUUGCUCAUGAGGACAUGUCCUCUGUGGUGGUGGGCACCAUUCGACUGCGGGCUCAGAGGAAGACGGUGGUAGAUCAGCGCGUUGCUUACGUCACUUCUCUCUCCGGCUUGAAUUUCUUCGCAGCAUCAGGUGGAGCCUUUUCUGCAGCAGGUUCCUUUGCUAGCGCUGCAGUGGGCGAGUCCUUGCUACUUUUCUUGUUCGGGCUUCUUUCCCCUGCCCUACGUGUAGCUAAAUGUGGUCUAAUAAACUUUUUAAAUCCUUUUUGAAAUAAUUAAAUGAUUGCAAAGUCCUGACCUGCACAUAGACCAAGUUGGAAGGAGUGCAGGUUUUGUGGAAGAGCUUUUUCAGGCACGGGAUUGUACUUUGACGGAUUAAAGCAAGGAGCAACGCUGUCUGCAUGGAACCUGCCGAGUGCCAGAGCCGUCCCUCUCAUCAGAUUCGCCCACCUUGGGUGUGUUGUCUUCCCGUUGGGGACAAGCACGUGUGCGUGGACCCCCUGGAUCUGCACAGGGCAGGGACGACUUCUAGGCUGAGCCUGGGGACCCACUGGGAAAGGUGAGAGGGACCCACAGGAAGAUGCACUGCACAGCUCCGGGUGCAGGUUAAUACCUUUCCUCGGGACUCGACUGCAGCGUGUUGGGUGAGGAGGAGGAAGGUGCUGCCCGGAGCAGGCUGUCGGUGCUGAGGAGCUCCUCCGAGCUCCUGGUGUUUCCCUUAGGGCCUCCUCCAGUCCAGAGCAAGUGGAAAAAAAAAGUUAAAAUCAAGAUGACACCUGUGGAACGCUGAUGCCGAUCUGCCGUACUAAUUGGACCUGUUUGUUUCUGCCUCUCUCAUCCUCUGUGAGGAGUCGGAGCGAACCCUCAGGGAGCUUCUGCAGAUCAUCCCCGGGGGGUUUGAACACGUCUACCUCAGAAAUAUUCCGUUCCAGAAAUAUUAAAAUCAUGCGUAUGGCUGCACACUGAAUGACAUUCUGCUCCGCAGGGAGCCAUGCCAAAGCUCCAGCUUGUGGCUUCAUCCUGCACUUGCUGGUGCAGGGGUGGCUGUGCAGGUCCUUGGGCAGGGGCUCAGCGGCACCGAGAGGCUUUUCUUUCCCCGCGGAUGGAGGUGAGCAGGUACGGGUGAGGGUCAGGCGUGUUUGUGUUGCAAGAUGUGGUGGAUCUGCAGCUCUGGGUCCUGUUGGUUGUUGGUUUCUUAGCAAUGGUCCUCCCAUCUUGCUCUGCUUUGACGUCCCUCCCUUGUCUCUCCUCCGUCAUCUCCCAAGGUGUUUUUGCCUUUCUGCUGGGAAUCAAAAUGUCUGUGUCUCACGCCCAAAUCCAUGUUGUUUGCUGGUAUGAAGUGCCGGGGCACCAGAUGCAUCAGGAGGCUAUAAGGGGGUCUUGGUGGGGUUGUGGAAAAGCUUGUGUAGAUCCAGCUCUGUCCCAGAGGUCAUGGUGGCCACAUGGCAGCUGGGGAGACCCCCCAGCACAAACCCAAGUCAAAUGGGGCUCCAGGGGAUGGAGGAGCACGGCACCGCUCACCCUGCCUGCUUCUUGUGGCUCACCGAAAGCUGGCACCGCUUCUCUGAAGGUAACUCCUCAGCAUGUCCUCCCCAGCCCCUAAAAAUAUCCCACGGGUAAUAUCUGCAGGGCCCACGGUGGGUUUUUUUAAUCAUUUGCAUUUCUUUGUCAUUUGCAUUGUAUUUCUGGCUGUGUGAUUCAGCGAGCUGCCGUAUGCCUCGACUGUCAUCUCCAGCCAGUCUGUAGGAAGGAUCUGCGCCUCACCCCCGAGGCAAAUGCUCUGCCAGCUUCAGUCCAUUGUAGUGUUUUGGAGGAAGGGAAGAUGGAUGUGUAUGAUACUGAAAUUUCACCAUCUUUUCCUCCCCCACGUUUUAGGAGAAUACAUAUAAAUCUCUGCCAUGUCCUCUUCUGUUUGUUAAAUGUAGCAGUAUGGAAAAUGUUAUUUCAGCUUUAUCUAUUUUAAAAUUAUUGUAUGGAUUAACAAACCAAGCAGAAGGUCUGUGUUGCUGUUUAACUUGGUGUUACUAUGUCCUUUUGGAAGACUUGUGGCUGCAAGUCAGCAGUGAGCACUCAUUUGUAUUUCUGCUUCCCCAGAUACUGAAAGUAGCGCUGGAGCUGCCAGUGUGUCCUGUUUGGAAUAACAGCUUGGUGGGGUCUGGAACAUAGUGGAGAUGCCUUCAAAAAAUCUGGCCUUGUUGAGGUGUCUUGAUACGAUUGUGCCGUGAUGAGUUGUGUUAGAAAAAGCCAUGGCCGGAUUUUGUUAAGAGAAGUCCCUUUGGUGCCUGGCAGAAAUGAGUUAGGUUGCCGUAAGGGACUGAAUUAACAAUAGGAGCCACAAGUGCACGUUUCCACUGGAUUGCGUUGUCCAUCCCUCGUUGGUGUCUGGGUUUGGCGAAGGAAAGUGAAGGAGGUUGCUCGGGUCCCAUCCUGGUGCUGCCGUGAGGGUGAGGAGCAGCUGAAUCCCCACUGGGAGCUCGUGAGCAAAACCAGACCCAAAGCAUUUGAGAUGGGUGAAAUGAACUGCACAGUGAAGGUCUCACAGCUCCCCUUACCCACCCCCCAUCUUUAAAAGUGGGAUGUCUACUUAUUUUAAUGGUCAGUCCUGGAAAUGCAGAAACUCAAGCGGAGCCUGGGAGCUCUGCGGUUCCUGGGCCAUGGAGCUGGGAGCCGUUGGCGUUGGUGCUGCCUCCUCCAGGCAUCUGCACAGACCAGAGCCAUCCCACCUUCCUUCUCCUGAGGCUUAACACAUAGACAGACACCUCCUCAGCCUUCAACAGCGCAUUUAUUGCCCUACAAAAGAAAAAACAAAUAUUUGGAAUGAGCCUGGCUUGUUCGCUGUCCACAGAAAUACCAGCGCGCCAUCCCCAUCGGUGCCGUGG